rnacentral:siRNA from 1 species
CUAAAACUAAUUGACAAUAGGUGG